rnacentral:piRNA from 1 species
UAGACAGAGAAAAUCUCAGUCAUCUGGUAU